CCAUACCUGGCUAAGUAUUUUCAAUAGAGACAGGGUUUCUCCAUGUUUGUCAGGCUGGUCUCGAACUCCAUAAAGUAAUCCAACUGACUCAGCCUCCCAAAAUGCUGGGAUUACAGGUGUGAGCUACCGUGCCCAGCUAGCUUUCUUUUUUGCUCCCUUUUUUUUUGGGGAGACCAAGUCUCACUCUGUAGCCCAGGCUUGAGUAUGGUGGUACAGUCUCGACUCACUGCAGCCUUGACCUCCUGGGCUCAGGUGAUCCUUCCACCUCAGUAACUGGGACUAUAGGCACAUGCCACCAUGUCUGGCUAAUUAUUUUUGAUUUUUAAUAGAGACAAGGUCUUGCCAUGUUUCCCAGUCUGGUCUGGAAUUCCUGGCCUCAAGCAAUUCUCCCACUGCCCCCUCCCAAAGUGCUGCUAUUAUAAGCAUCAGCCACCAAGGUUGGGCUGUCCAUGUCUUUUCUGUUUAUUUAUAGAGUUAACGUGUCUUUUACUAAUUAGAUGAUCUAUAUAUUUAAUCUUUUAUUAAAUUAUAAAAAUAGUGAAGACUUUCAAAUGAAGAAGUGAAAAACUUCCUUUACGCAUUAGACCCAUAAUCUUAUCUCAUGAAAUAAUUGGCCAUAUUCUUCAAAUACAUAUGGGCUAAUUGAAUAUCACUUCUCAUUUUCAUAUUUCGUGGACAUCUGUGUCAAUUUCUAUUGAUCUAUCUGAAUCCUUUUCAUGGUUUCCUAAUGUUUUAUCAUAUGGAUAUAUCACAAUUGACCAGUCAGCCUCUAUAGCCAUUUAAGCUCCUUCUAAUAUUUGCUUUGAGCUCUUUAUAUCAUUAAAAAUUAACCUCCUCAGCAGGUUGUGGCAGGUGUGGCAGCUCACACCUGUAAUCCCAGCACUUUGGAAGGCUGAGGUGGGAGAACUGCUUGAGGGAGAAGGAUCACCACCAGCCUCGUCGACAUAGCAGCACAUUGUCUCUAAAAAACAUUCAAGAUAGCAUGAGCUGCACAUUGCGGUCCACACCUGUAGUCCGAGCUACUGGGGAGUCUGAGACUGGAGGAUCACUUGAGCCUAGGAGGUCGAGGCUGCAGUAAGCUGUGAUCACACCACUGCACUCCAGCUUUGGUAACACUGGAUCUACCAUGAAAGACACCAGAGUUCAGGAGGAGACUGGGCAUCAUGUUACUCAGAUGGAGUUUUGCUCCUGCUGUGUGCUCCUGCUGGCCUCAGGAGGCCCAAGCAUUGGGUCCUGAAGUCGGCCUCUCCAGGCCCAGCUCCUGCUCUCCUGGCGUCUCCUCCACAUGGGUGCAAGAUAUCCUCAGAUGGGUGCCUCCAGGGCCAGCUGCUGCCUCCCAACGGCCCCCUGGGGCCCAGCUUCUGCCUCCCCUCAGCCUCUCUGGGAGGUCCAGCCUAUGCCUCCCUUCUGGUGGCCUCCCCAGGCCCGGAUCCUAUUCCUGGCCUCAUCUACUGGACCACGUCCUGCCUCCCGGCAGCUGCUUUUUGCUCAGCUUCUGACCAGCUUCCAGCGGCCUUUCUUCUGUAGGCCCGAAGCUUUCUCAAGUGGGGCUUUUCGGGCCUUCGUUCUGCCUCCUGGUGGCCUUGACUGGCCCUGUUACCACCUGACAUUGGCCCCACCGGGCCCAGCUCUGGACUCUCUGCAGCCGCCCCAUCACCAGCUGCUCCCUGCUGGUGGCUUCCCCAGGCCAAGAUUCUGUCUGCCUUCCUUCCUGCCUGCCUGCCUGCCUGCCUGCCUGCCUGCAUUCUGGCUGCGUCCACAGGCCCAGCGCCCCCCUCACACUGGCCUGUUGGGGCCCAGCUCAUGCCUUUGGCAAACCUCUCCAAACCCAGCUCUCGUCUCACUCUUGCCUUGAGUCUAGGCCCAGGCACUCCCUCGCAGAGGUCUUCCUCAGCCCAGCUCGCCUAUCAUGGACUCUCCCAGGCCAGCUCCUGCCUUCCAGCGGCCUGUCCAGGCCCAAAGCUUCCUCUCCGGGCCCGGCCUCCCCAGGCUUAGCUCCUGCUUGCGCCAGGCCCAUACUGGGCCCAGCCUCUGCCUUUCAGUGGACCCUCCAGGCCCAGCUCGUGGCAUCACCGUGGCCUCUGCUCAGGCCCAGCUCCUGCCUCUGUGGCAGCCUGUAUCCACAGGCCCCGCCUCCAGCCUCCCCGUGGCCCUAUCAGGCCAAGCCGGUGCCUCCCGGUGGCCCUCCCGCACCCAGCAUUGGCCUGCUUGCAUCCUCUUCAUGCGCAGAAUGUCUUCAGGUAGGCCUUUCGGGGCCCAGCUCCUCCUCUCGGCCGUGUCUACAGGCUCAACGUUUGAAUUUGCCUCGCAGCAACCUCUGGGGACUCAGUUUCUCCCCAGCUCCUGGCGGCCUUUGUAGGCCCGAAAGCUCAGGCCCUCGACUCAGGCUCUCCAGACCCACCCAGCUCAUGUCUCACGCUGGCCUCUCCAGGCUCGGCUUCUGCCCUCCUAGGGCAUCUCCAGGCCCCAGACGUUCCUGAGUCAGCUUCUGCUGGCCCCGGCUCCUGCUGCGUUAUCCUGCUGGCCUCGGGAGGCCCAAGCAUUGGGUCCUGAAGUUCAUCUCUGUCGGCCCAGCCUCUGCCCCUUACUGGUGGCCUCCGCACACCCGGAUCAUCCUGCUGGCUGUGUCUACCGGCUGACAUUUUGCCCCCUGGCAUCCUCUUUUGGCUCAGCUCCUGGCCAGCUCACGACGGCCUUUCGUCUGUCGGCCCAAAGCUUCCUCGGGGCUUUUGGGGUGUCCCCUCUGCCUCCCGGUGGCCUUGACAGGCCCAGCUACAUCCUGACAUUGGCCUCUCCAUGCCCAGUUCUGGCCUCCUUACAGCACCCCCAGCACCAUCCACUGUCUGUCGGCCACUUCCCCAGGCCAAGAUCCUGCCUACCUUUCAACUUUGUCCACAAAUUCAACGCCUCCCUCACACUGGCCAGUUGAGGCCCAGCUUGGCCUCUAGCAGAUGUCUCUGGACUUAGCUAUCGCCUUGUACUGGCCUUGAGUCUGGGCCCAGGCAACAGGCCCAAGCUUUGCCCCCGGCAGCCUUUUUUUUUUUUUUUUUUUUAUGCAGUUUUGCUUUUGUUACCCAGCCGCGAGUGCAAUGGUGUGAUCUCGGCU